rnacentral:rRNA from 1 species
UUCCUACGGGGGGCAGCAGUGAGGAAUAUUGCGCAAUGGCCGAAAGGCUGACGCAGCAACGCCGCGUGAGGGAUGAAGUUCUUCGGAAUGUAAACCUCUGUUAGAGGGGACGAAAAGACGGAUCUCAAAUAGACAUCUGUUUUGACGGUACCUUCAGAGAAAGCCCCGGCUAACUCCGUGCCAGCAGCCGCGGUAACACGGGGGGGGCAAGCGUUGUCCGGAAUUAUUGGGCGUAAAGGGCGCGUAGGUGGGAUCGCAAGUCUGGGGUGCAAACUUGUGGCUUAACUGCAAGCUUGCCCUGGAUACUACUAUUCUUGAGUUCGGAAGAGGGAAAUGGAAUUCCUGGUGUAGCGGUGAAAUGCGUAGAUAUCAGGAAGAACACCGGUGGCGAAGGCGGUUUCCUGGUCCGAUACUGACACUGAUGCGCGAAAGUGUGGGGAGCAAACAGGAUUAGAUACCCCAGUAGUCC